rnacentral:rRNA from 1 species
UGGGGAAUAUUGGACAAUGGGCGAAAGCCUGAUCCAGCCAUGCCGCGUGUGUGAAGAAGGCCUUCGGAUUGUAAAGCACUUUAAGUGGGGAGGAAGGGCAGUAAGCGAAUACCUUGCGGUUUUGAGGUUACGGACAGAAUAAGCACCGGCUAACUUGGUGCCAGCAGCCGCGGUAAUACAGAGGGUGCAAGCGUUAAUCGGAAUUACUGGGCGUAAAGCGCGCGUAGGUGGUUCGUUAAGUUGAAUGUGAAAGCCCCGGGCUCAACCUGGGAACUGCAUCCAAAACUGGCGAGCUAGAGUAGGGCAGAGGGUGGUGGAAUUUCCUGUGUAGCGGUGAAAUGCGUAGAUAUAGGAAGGAACACCAGUGGCGAAGGCGACCACCUGGGCUCAUACUGACACUGAGGUGCGAAAGCGUGGGGAGCAAACAGG